rnacentral:rRNA from 1 species
ACUCCUACGGGAGGCAGCAGUGGGGAAUAUUGCACAAUGGGGGAAACCCUGAUGCAGCCAUGCCGCGUGUGUGAAGAAGGCCUUCGGUUGUAAAGCACUUUCAGUAGGGAGGAAGGUAGUGUAGUUAACACCUGCAUUAUUUGUACGUUACCUACAGAAGAAGCACCGGCUAACUCCGUGCCAGCAGCCGCGGUAAUACGGAGGGUGCGAGCGUUAAUCGGAAUUACUGGGCGUAAAGCGCAUGCAGGCGGCCUGUUAAGUCAGAUGUGAAAGCCCGGGGCUUAACCUCGGAAUUGCAUUUGAAACUGGCAGGCUAGAGUCUUGUAGAGGGGGGUAGGAA